rnacentral:rRNA from 1 species
CGUGUAGGCGGCCCCUUAAGUCCUGCGUGAAAUCCUGCGGCUCAACCGCAGACGGUCGUGGGAAACUGGAGGGCUAGAGUGCGGGAGAGGAGAGUGGAAUUCCCGGUGUAGCGGUGAAAUGCGCAGAUAUCGGGAAGAACACCCGUGGCGAAGGCGGCUCUCUGGAACGCAACUGACGCUGAGACGCGAAAGCGUGGGGAGCAAACA